CACAUCUAUAUAUAAUUCCUUCAUAUAUCCUCGAUGAUAUGGUUCGAGAGUCUCUACCGGGUCGCCUUAAAUGAUCUGACUAUGAAGGCAGAUAAGUCUUUG
rfam:Bacillus circulans strain RIT379 contig17, whole genome shotgun sequence.